rnacentral:rRNA from 1 species
UACGAGGGGGGGCGAGCGUUGUUCGGAAUUAUUGGGCGUAAAGGGUGCGUAGGCGGUUCCGCAAGCCCUGUGUGAAAUCUUCGGGCUCAACUCGAAGUCUGCACGGGAAACUGCGGGGCUUGAGUGUGGGAGAGGUGAGUGGAAUUCCCGGUGUAGCGGUGAAAUGCGUAGAUAUUCGGAAGAACACCAGUGGCGAAGGCGACUUACUGGACACGUAUUGACGCUGAGGUGCGAAAGCGUGGGGAGCAAACAGG